rnacentral:rRNA from 1 species
UACGUAGGGGGCAAGCGUUGUCCGGAAUCAUUGGGCGUAAAGAGCGUGUAGGCGGCCUGGUAAGUCCGCUGUGAAAGUCCAGGGCUCAACCCUGGAAUGCCGGUGGAAACUGUCAGGCUCGAGUCCGGAAGAGGCGAGUGGAAUUCCUGGUGUAGCGGUGAAAUGCGCAGAUAUCAGGAGGAACACCAAUGGCGAAGGCAGCUCGCUGGGACGGUACUGACGCUGAGACGCGAAAGCCAGGGGAGCGAACGGG